rnacentral:rRNA from 1 species
GACGAACGCUGGCGGCGUGCUUAACACAUGCAAGUCGAACGGAAGUGCCCGGCUUUUGUUGGGUGCUCGAGUGGCGAACGGGUGCGUAACACCUGAGUAACCUGCCCUUGACUUUGGGAUGACUUCAUGAAACUGGGUGUAAUACCGGAUAGUAUCUCCUGCUUCAUGGUGUGGGUGGUAAAGUUUCGGCGUUUGGGGAUGGACUCGCGUGUUAGCAGCUUGUUGGUGGGGGAGUGGCUUACCAAAGCUGUGACGGGUGGCCGGCGUGGGCGGGUGACCGGCCACAUGGGGAAUGGGAUACGGCCCAGAGGGAUACGGGAGGCAGGAGUGGGGACUAUUGCACAAUGGGCGGAAGGCUGAUGGAGGAACGCGGCAUGAGGGAUGACGGCUCUCGGGUCGUAAAACGAUUGACGAAGGGAGGAAGAGUGAGUGAAGGUAAUGGGUAAAGAAGCACCGGCUAACUACGUG